GUGCCAACCAAACUGCUCCACGUGCGUCCCGGGUGUCAUCCGCAAGACAGUGGGUCGCGAUCCCCAGAACCCCUGUUACCACGAUGCUAAUAGAUGCCAAGGUGCGGAUGUGACUCUUCCCCGAGCUUCGAGGAGCCCCCAGCAGUACCUGAAAGGGGCGUGUGGCGACUGCGGAAAAGUGGCCUGUAGUGGGCGGGACCGCGGCACCUGACUCAGGUCUCACCAACGGCGUUUCCUCAUCUAUAAAACGGGACUUAACGCCAACAUCCCUCCCAAAAGCGCAGUUGAGAGACGACCUAAUCAUGGAUACUCCUUUUGUGUGUGAGGGGCAGGGGGUCCUCAUGUAGGCCGGCCUAGCCCUCUCAAUUCGCUGAGUAGUUAAGGAGGACUUUGUGCUUCUGAUCCUCCUGCCUCCACCUCCUCUGUGUUGGGAUUACAGAAUUAAGACAUGCACCAGCCUCAAACUGGACAGGGCAGAAGCGGGUGGACCUCGGUCAAGUUCAAGGACAGCCUGGGCUAUGUGCCAGACCUGGCUCAAAUAAAUAAACCCCAUUCCUUUAGCUGCAAAAACCCUCUGACUCCCCUAGUCCACAGUAAAGUGUAAAUCGACGCCGAGGUCUUACUCCUCACGUGACUGCAAGACCCCGCCCACAGGGAAGGGAACAUGGCGACGCCCAGGGUGGCUUCAGAAAGAGGGCAAUCAACGAGAGGACGCUGACGCACCAGAGCGUCCACACCGGCGUCGUCUCUGCGGUUGAGGGCUGGGAAGGCGGGAAUUCUGGGUGUACGCGCUGGACCUCCUCCCGGUUUUUAAAAGAGAAUAGAGAAGGAGGGGCCCACCUGAACCCCAGAGAUAGCAUGAUCUGAUCUGCCUGAGACCUCCCCACUUGUUGAGAGCCCCAGGAUCCGAGGCAGGAGGAUGAACUUGUGGCAUUCCGUAACGGUUUUUCCAAAACCUUUGUGUCAACACCUUGCCAAUUUAUUAAGUGGCCUCGGUGUCAGCCCAGCCUCUGCUUCCCAAACACACACACAAUCUGUUCUUCCCUUUGCCG
rnacentral:lncRNA from 1 species